rnacentral:misc_RNA from 1 species
CAAGGUUUCCGUAGGUGAACCUGCGGAAGGAUCAUUGUCGAAGCCUAGAAAGCAUGACCGUGGACAAGUUGUUAAUCGUGGAUGCACUUGGAUCCUUCGGGGUACUCCAUUUGCCUUCCACUCGGUCGGUGAUGAGCCUUGCGCCCAUCGCUGAUUGAAACGAAUGAACCCCGGCGCGGAUCGCGCCAAGGAAUCGAAACCGGAAGAGCUUGGCUCGGUGGCCCGUUCUCGGGCUGCCAAGGCCUUAGGUCUAUUCAAAAUACC